rnacentral:lncRNA from 1 species
CUGGUCCCGAGCAGCUGGGGAGCUGAGACCUAAGGCUCGGAGGCCGGUCCCAGCCGAGAAGCCCCGGAGAAGGCAGGCUGGCGCCACGCCGCAGCCGGGAGCGCUCACCGGCGGGGGACUCGCCGCAGCCCCUUCCCCCUCGGGCCCCUUCCCCCUGGGGGGGCCCCUCCUCCGGGGGGCCCCCUCCUCCGGGCCUCCCCCGGCCUCCCUGAAACAAAACCCUGGUUUCGGGGCCCAGAGAAGACUCAGCAGCUUCUUCCAGGGAGUCCCUGGCCCCGCUGCCAACACCACCGGACCGGGAGCAGGGCCUGGCCCCAUCCUUUUUAUCAGGGGAUGGCGACGACAGAGGGCAAGGGCGAAAACUGGGGUGACUCGGAUGCGAGUGGAAGCCCCCGCAUCUGGUAGAAGGGAGACGCGGAACGCCAGGCGUUAUAUGUCCUAGGGAGAGUGCGGGUGACCCUCCGCAACUGGGGAGCGCAAGCCCCCGGGAGCCAGGAGACUGGGUCAACCAAUGUAACAAUGCAGAGCCCUCUGUAUGCAUAAUGGAAACCCAGGGCCUCUCUCUCAAGAGCCCCAGGAAGGACGAAAGUGGAAGGGUGAACCCUGAAAUGGAGUACGGGGCAGACUAGGUACAAAGUGGUCCCAGGCUUCCCUUGAGUCUACAGCAAGGCGAUGCCAGCCUGUGGAUGAACCCAAGAUGGCCUGGUGCAGCCCAGUCCUGUACUGCACAUGUGCCAACAUGCCUCGGACAAGGGUGUAUCUGUCACAGAGGCCUUAGUCACUCUUUUUUUUAAAGUAUCGAGGGUUGAAUCCAGGGCCCUGCACAUACGAGGCAAGCAUUCUAUCCCUAACCCUUUUUUAUUUUAUUUUGAGACAAGGUCCCACUAAUUUGCCCAGGUUGGCCUUGAACUUGUACUCCUGCCUCAGCCUCCUGAGUAGCUAGGGUACAGGCGUGUGCUACCUCGCCCAGAUUUUAAGUAGCAAGUUGAUACAACCUUCCAGAGCUGGCACCCAGGCUGUCACUCGGAAGCAUCCUCUCUGCUGAAUGGUGUCGAGGAGCCUGUCAGAAACAGACUUCUCUGUCCCCAUCAUACACGCUAGACAUUCUCUUUACCUCCAGCCCUAGGUUUGCUAACUA